rnacentral:rRNA from 1 species
UAGGGAAUCUUCGGCAAUGGACGAAAGUCUGACCGAGCAACGCCGCGUGAGUGAAGAAGGUUUUCGGAUCGUAAAACUCUGUUGUUAGAGAAGAACAAGGACGUUAGUAACUGAACGUCCCCUGACGGUAUCUAACCAGAAAGCCACGGCUAACUACGUGCCAGCAGCCGCGGUAAUACGUAGGUGGCAAGCGUUGUCCGGAUUUAUUGGGCGUAAAGCGAGCGCAGGCGGUUUCUUAAGUCUGAUGUGAAAGCCCCCGGCUCAACCGGGGAGGGUCAUUGGAAACUGGGGAACUUUAGUGCAGAAGAGGAGAGGGGAAUUCCAGGUGUAGCGGUGAAAUGCGUAGAUAUAUGGAGGAACACCAGAGGCGAAGGCGGCUCUCUGGUCAGUAACUGACGAUGAGGCUCGAAAGCGUGGGGAGCAAACAGG